UACGAAGGGGGCUAGGCGUUGCUCGGAAUCACUGGGCGUAAAGGGCGCGUAGGUGGCUCGUUAAGCGUGGUGGUGAAAAGCCCUGGGGGCUCAACCCCAGGGUCUGCCCGUGCGAACUGGCGAAGCUUGAGCAGAGUAGGAGGCGGGGUGGAAUUUCGGGUGUAGCGGUGGAAUGCGUAGAUAUCCGAAAGAACACCGGUG
rnacentral:rRNA from 1 species